rnacentral:sRNA from 1 species
UCUCAUUUAAACAACACAGUCCCUACCUCUACUAUGUCCUUACAACUCUAUAGUUGCGCCAGAUCGAUUAAACUUCGUUAAAACGAU